rnacentral:rRNA from 1 species
GACGAACGCUGGCGGCGUGCUUAACACAUGCCAGUCGAACGGAAAGGCCCUGCUUUUGUGGGGUGCUCGAGUGGCGAACGCGGGAGUAACACGUGAGUAACCUGCCCUUGACUUUGGGGUAACUUCAGGAAACUGGGGCUAAUACCGGAUAGGAGCUCCUGCUGCAUGGUGGGGGUUGGAAAGUUUCGGCGGUUGGGGAUGGACUCGCGGCUUAUCAUCUUGUUGGUGGGGUAGUGGCUUACCAAGGCUUGGACGGGUAGCCGGCCUGAGAGGGUGACCGGCCACAGUGGGACUGAGAUACGGGCCAGACUGCUACGGGAGGCAGCAGGGGGGAAUAGUGCACAAUGGGCGGAAGCCGGAUGCAGCAACGCCGCGUGCGGGAUGACGGCCUUCGGGUUGUAAACCGCUUGCGCCUGUGACGAAGCGUGAGUGACGGUAAUGGGUAAAGAAGCACCGGCUAACUACGUG